CCUACCGCAAACACCCUGCCGGUGGACUCGACUUCGCGAGUGCAUAAGUUUGAAAAAAGUUUCACCAAGAGUAACCGUAGGGUUUGAUGACGUCGUCGGUGACGUACAAGAUGCACUGGAGUGAUGUCAAAAGUGGAAAUUACUCUGGAUAUUCGCAAUCGGCUCAGUUGCCCGAGAGGUGCGAUCGUGAACACAUCUAAGAUAUAUUAUGAAUUUUGUGUUAAGUGCGGUACGAAUAUAUUAUUAUUUUUAUGGAAUUAAAACAAUAAGUUAAGUUAGUUAAUACGAAUUAUAAUAUAAUGAGAUUUUUAAAAUUGUAAAUGAAUAAUAAUAGUUCCUGGCAAUGAAAAGAUUAAUUGAAAGUGUAUUCACCAAAGUGCCCAUAUCUUCUCUGAACGCCUUUGUCUUGAUGCGAAGGCUGUAUAAAUUUGGCAAGGACAAGGCAGUCUGUAUUGGGUAAGGUCAGGGAACGGAGAGUCUGCGGUGGCGGGAGGAGUGAUGGAUGGGCGGGGGGUGUGGAGGGGGGCGAAGGCCAUCUACAGAGGUUACUCUCGGUCAUUCGCGCGUGACGUCAUCAGUCACAACCAAACCCGUGACGUCACUGGUCGAUUUCACACAUUUGAAACUACCCCCUGUAACUCCACUCCCAUCUUAUAUAUGGUGUAUGUGCUUUAAAAUAAUUCUGACAUUUAAAAAAAUCUAUAGUACAAGGUUUAAUUGUUGAUAUAAAUUUACAGAUUUUUUUUCCAAUCUAAGAAGUGAAUAAGAACAUUUUUAAAAUUAUAAAAAAAGAGGGCCAUUAAAUUCUGGAACUGCAGGUUAGAUUCACUCAAAGGCCGGCACAUUUUGCUGCAAUUUGCAUUGUAAAUAAACAGUAUCAACAAUCUGA